GCAUUUAAUGUACAUUAAAACUGUACACUCUGAGUGCAGUCAUCAACAGAGCAAUUUAUGGACAUGAUCUGGAUCACAGAUGUAAAAAACAUUUUGUUUUAUAUAUAAACUGAUAUUUUACAAGUGACCAACUCGAGCCCUGUGUUAAGGAGGAUCUGGAGGCAUAAUCCAGUGGCAUAUCCCACAAGCAAUGUCUGAUAAAAAGAAGGAAGAAGGAAGCUAUGCUUCUAUAUACCAAGCAUUUGUCAUCCCUGUCCUAGGGAAAGCCACCUCUAUGAUCCAGAGAAUAGAUCUUCUUGGAGAAACACUGGACCGAUAUUUAAUUUUAUAAAAAGAAGGAGAAAGCUAAUAUUAUUUUAGCACCUACCACUGAGCAUACACUUCAUUUCACUUACUUCUCACAACACAGUGCAAAUGAGUACAGUGCUCCCAUUUUCCAGUCAAGAAGACGAAGGCUCAGAGCUGCCAGCUAACUCUUUCUGAGACCCACAGUGAGUAAAUGGCAGAAACAGGACUCAGUCUUAGAUCUGAUGGACUCUCGAUGCUACACUACGGCACGCCACCUUCUGAAAUCCUCAGAGCUCAAUAAAAAGUCCCACUGUUCUAUGAAUUUGUUUUGCCCAGUUUCAAGAUAUUUAACACUGUUCUGUUCUUGCCUUUCCUCCUUCUCACUGGCUGAAGUCUCACUCUUCUCAAAACACAAAUGGCUAUGAGGCAAGGCACUUUGUUGGACCAGAUCGUGCCUCCUAAAGGUGGCAAGUUUGCAUCACGACUUUACAUAAAUGCUCUUGGCACUGACAGCGGGAGGCAGGCAGGAGUGCGGCUCUGCCAUGUGACAAAUAUAGAGCUGCUGUCCUUAAAGCUCUAACAAGAGACUAACCCUCAAGGGAGACGCCAUGCAAUAAAUAAUUUUUGCCAUAACACAUUUCUUUCUUUGCAUAAAUUUAACACCCUGCUCUCUGUACAAUAUGUGAUCUUCCUGCUAACUCCCCAUAGACAGAAAUAGCUCUGGUAAGAUGUGAUAAAAGACAAGUGGCAGAAAGGAAGGGAGACAUGACACAUUGGAGAACUUGACUUUAGUGUCGGCUUCUCUACAAUGAAUAUUAUCUUUUGCAUUCUUCAUGGUUAACAAUAUACAAAGAAGGACUGCAGUGGGGCAGAUCAUUAGUCUGAUGGGAUCCCCAUUGCAUCAAAUGAACUGUUUUUGGACUGUAAGAUGCUGAUUCCCUGUUUGCUCUGCCAGAUGUUACCUGGCUUCCAGCCUUUCUUCUCUUCCCCAUAGCAACGGUCACCAGACCACUUCCUUCACCCUAAACAUGAAGGUAGCCCAGACACCAGCCUGCAGAGUCAAUCCUGCCUCCAAUAAAAGGGUUCUGAGAAAUUCUAGCAAAACUCAGAUAUUUAUCUAGCAGAUCUCUGGUUUUGUGGCUCAGCUCAGGUUGUUGUGGAAUUUUGAAUGGGGAUAUGCAAAUAUACUUGGGGUCCUUCUUUCUGGAAAUCAGAGCACUAACACAAAAUUCUGCCUUAGAUGUUUCCAAUCUACCUAAAUAAUUUGUCUCAUAUUUUACAUCCCCCCAAAAGGGCCUUUUGGCACCUGGAAAAUCUUUAAUUUGGGGGUAGUAUCCUGUGUUCCCUUUGAUCUAGAAAGCCUGCAGAAUCAUGGUGCUCCAAUCUCAAGGGAGGAAGCACACUGUUUAGGAAGUCCUCAUUCCUGCAGAUAGAGGAUGCCCUGACUAGGUAAGGGUGCCUGGUCAAUACUCCUUUAUUGCCAGAAUUCUGAGAGCAGCACCUUUUCUCUUGCAUUGUCUUUCUCCCAUCUCAUGUCAUUCUGUUGGGAAUGCUAAUCACAGUCACACAUCCUCUGCACCUCCAAGCAUCAGUGUGACCAUGUGAGCACAACCCCACCUCUGGAAUCAGACAAGCAUUUCACAGGACUAAAGUGAGGAUAAUCAAGUCACAUGCUCAGAACUGGCCAGAGUUUUUCAGUUUCAAGUGACAAAAUCUCCAACCCCCAAAAUAGAACACAUAGGCCUAUGUAAACUGAAAACCAAGAGUAGAUUUACUUCCAAAAGAGUCAAAUCAAGGACUUUGAGGAUGUGGUCAGGUAUGGGUCUCUCUCCAUGGACUCCUUGUCCUUUCCUUCACCCCCAUAUCCAGGUCUCUGCAUUUGUCCGCGUUCUUCACUGUCAUGUGGCUCCUCCCGAUGUGAUAGCAAAGAUGCCCGUGGACAAACCAGGCUUGGGUCCAUCAUGUUGGCAAUCUGGAGGAAGCCGAGCACUUUUUCUCCAACUGACUCAGUCCCAGGACUGGCUCUCAUUUGCCCAGCUUGUGCAGUGAUGAACCUAUACAAAUUGUGUAAAGCAAAUGUUUUCAGGCAUUGGAUGUCAAGCAGCACAGGACUAUCAACCUGAAGGAAAGAGAAUCACACAAGAUGAGCCUCAUAUUUAUCCUGGCUUUCCGCUUCGGAGCACUCUCUCAACUUCAACACAGAGAAGUGAAACCCAAGUGAAAGAGUAUUGCUAAACCAAGGAGGCAGACCUCAUGUUUGUUCAAGAGUACCCAAGAGAUAGGAUCUGUAAGAGGCACACAGGACCACAUUUGUUCUACCACGCUAUGCUGAAUAUGAGGCAAAAGUUAACACCUGGAAAUUUUGCUAUCCUGAAAUGAGGCAGUGCAUUGUGGAGAAAAAAAGAAUGGACUCUUCUAUUAAAUGAACGUAAGUGAGCAAGCUGUUUAUAAACUAUAAAAGUGACAAAUAUGUAUAAUUAUAUUUAAAUGUUAUCAUUACAAAUUGUUAAGGCAGUAUUGCACCCUACGGGCUUUGGAAACCGUGACCAUUUGCAUUCAUUAUCGAUCAUUGCAUAAAAAUAAUCACAAAACUAAGUGGCUUGAAACACCAGAUUUUAUUCUUUCAUUAUCUGUGGUCAGGAGUUUGGGAGUGCAAACAGUCGAGCUGUCUGCCAGGGCUGCAGUCAUCUGAAGGCUGGAAGGUCUUCUUCCAAGUUUGCCCCAUGGUUGUUGACCUGUCUCCGUCCUUCACUGGAUGUCUACAGGAGGCCUUAGCCCUCUCCACAGACUGCCAUGAGUCCAUGCGACAUGGCAGCUGGCUUCCCCCAAAGCAAGUAGCCCAAGAGAAAGCACAAAACCAAAAUGGAAGCUGCAGUGUCUUUUAUACUUUUAUACUCUAAUCUUGGCAGUGACAUGCCAUCACUUCUGCAGUAUUGUGCUGGCCACAGAGCCCUCCCCUGGUGCAAGUGGCAGGAGGGUGUUCCAGCAUCACUAUUUCAAGAGAAGCAGGGACCAGACUAUCCUGCCCAGAUAGUCUGCCUAAGCACUCUUACAGUCUGCCUGUAAAUCUGACUUUUGAAAAUGGCACCUUCUAAUUUAGGCACCUGAAUCUAAUAAGUUCAAUAAUCAACCUACAUUUCGUAACUUCUCCCAUCACUCUUAUAUGUUCCUCGUGUGUUUAGUAUCUUUUUCCCUUUCCUUUCCCAUUAGACUGUGAGCUCUGUUAAAGAAACUCUGUGCUUUAAUCUUCUUUAAAAUUUUCACGGGCACUGUUUGAAGUUCACAUUGAUUUUCACGUAGCCAGGGCUCAAGCUGUGCUUGCUGGUUACAAACAUUUUACAAAGCAGAACACCCAGAAAGUAAAGGUAACUGUCAUAACGUAUAUCAAUCAGUUAUUUCCCCAAUAAUAGUGUAUAAGAAACCACCUCCAAACUUAAAUCCAUAUAACAACCACUUAUUCUCUUGCUCAUGGGUCUGCAGGUCAAUUGAGAAUGGGUUGAUCUUGGCUGGACAGCUCCACUUCAGGGUCAGGGUCAGCUGGGCUGGGUUUCUUGCGGCAAGUUAGACUCAGGUCUAUGCCACCUGGGUUCAUUCUGGAACUCAAGCUGAGGGGCAGUGUCCAUUCUGAGGAAGCUCCUCUCAGGUAAUAGCAAAAGCACAAGAGGGACAAUAUAACCAGGCAAUGCAUGUCAAGUUUUCUUGCUUUGUGAAUACUACCAUCCCAUUAGCCAAAGCAGGUAACAUGGGUGAGCCUAAAGUCAGGAGCAGGGAAAUACACCGUUUCUAGCGGGGGGAACUUUAAAGUCACAUAAGAAAGGACAUGAGCAAAGGAAUAAAAAUUGUGGCCAACAAAUCUACUAUGUACUGGCACAAAGUUACUAGAGCCAUCUAAGAACUAAGUGUUGCUGAGAAUAUUUGACUUUCUGGAAAUAGUUGAGUAUUCUUUUCCUUUUAGAACUGAGAAACACUUGAGAAGUAAGUUAAACCUGAAAAUCAACAUGAGAGUGCUAUGAUACGUAGCAUAGAUUUUAGCAAUCCUACUGUCCCCCACUUACUGGUUGGGGACCCUGUCACAGUUCUUUUAACUUCUGAGUGUUUUUUUGUCCAAAGUAAAGGCAAGAUAAAAAUCUAUGCAGGUUGUGAAAAUUAACAUAAAUUAACAUAUUACAUAUUGGUACUAGAUGUUCUCAAUGUCUGUUUCCCCAUCUAUCUUGCUGGAGAGGCAGGGAGGGUGGAGGGAGCUUUAAUUUUCCAGCAAACUUGGGAGCCUUGGACUCAGUCAGGGAAGGACUCAGCUUUCUUGAAAUGAAAAAAAGGUAAUGACAGAGACUCUAUACCACAUUCACCCUCAUGUUGCUUAAAGACAAAAGCAUAAUCAACCGUCAUUUAUCUAGUGCACUGAAAUACUACGUUAUUGCCAUAGAGACAUAAUUAUGAGUAAUUAAAUGGAAGUGUUUUCUAAAAUCUUUUUGAAUUAAAGUCUAAAUAUCUACCUUUUCACUCAAUUCAUAUAAGCAUAAGUUAAACACUGCAGCACAUAUCUUGUUUUGCUCCAAAUCAAAUCAGUGAGUUAUUUGUGGCAAUCUUAUCAGAAGCAAGUGAAUGAAA
rnacentral:lncRNA from 1 species